CCCACAGCCGCCCCCCGUGCGCCUCAAGGUUCAGGGGCGCCUCGUGAACCCCACCCCCCGACCUUCGCCAUCUUGUUAGUCACUGGGGCUUUGGGUUACAGGUUUAACAGGAGCGGAGUGGGAAGAACUCCGGUCGGUGUAGCUUAUCGUUUUACUUUGAGCCGAUUGAUUCAAACUGCUAAACAGAUUGAAAUUAAAUAAAUCAGUCUUUGCAUUUGGUAUUGGAUGGGGUUCCUGAAGGGCCAAGUCAGUGAUAUUGAUAAGGACAGGGAACAGCUUUAACAUCUGUCUUCCCAGUUGCGAAGGAUGUAUGGUGUGUGAAGACUGAAAAGAAAGAAAAGAAAUCAAUGAAGAAGACAUAGUGGCGGUGCUCUCGAGGUGAUAUAUCUGGAAGAAGUGAUUACAGGAAAUAACCAGAGUCAACAAUGUCUCACCACUCGGAAAACUAAGGUGGUGGAUCCAGGCCUGAAAAGACAGGCAACCCACAAAGAAGAAGCAACGCUAUAGAUUUUUGGGAGGCAGAUAUCCUGGGAUUUGGAUAUCCUGGAGAAUGUGAAAAUUCAACCUGGAAGAAAACAUUUGUUUUUCGUGGCAAUUCAUAUGAAUUGCACUUCAAGAAUAGAUCCAUGCACAGAUUUUGCACUUGUGCAUCACAGAAUAUAACAAUAUGUCAGGUGAUUCAAUAGCUUAACACAGUACGAUAAUGU